rnacentral:lncRNA from 1 species
AUGGUCGGCGCUGUGAACCAGCACCCGAAGAGCUUGAGAAGCUGUCGACCCCGGGAACCUCUUCUCCCAGCCAGGCUCCACGUUUACUGGCUUGGAACGCCACCCACCCGAGGGUCCAGCGCUUUAGCGACCCAGCAUUUCCCCGAGGUUGUUGCUUGUAGAAGUGGGACCCAAGAUGUCACUCACAGCUUGAUGGUGUUAAGAUGGGGACAACUGUUCCACCACUGGUCUCCACACCAGAAACCUUCUAAAUACUGGUAUGUGGCCCUCUCCACUUUUCCAAAUCAGUCUCUUUCCAAGGCCAGGCGAGUAGCUCUCCCAGAACCGCCCAAGCAGCCUCGGGCACCACCCAGAUGGCCGCGGGGCCGUCGCCGGGAACCUCCCCUGAACAGCUGCCCUCUGCCCCUAACCUCCCCCCAGUAAAACUCAAAAGGAAACUGGCCCCUCCGAAGAUCAAAAUUCAGAUUCGUUUAAUUCCAACUGCACACAACUGCGUGAUGUUUUGGUGUUGCUCACAUACGAAGAGUCCUUAAGAAGGCGUAAAAAGAAAAAAAUGAAAAAAGAAAAUUGAAAAAGGUGGUGGUGGGGACCCACAUCACGGGCAGUGGAUGUCAGCCUCGGCAGAACCGGGAUUCAGAAUGAAAUCUUUUCUUUUCUUUUUUAAAUAAACGGAAGAGUCGAUCUCCACUCCUCGCUCGGAAGGUUUCAAAGGUCGUCACACUGAAGCCCGGGGGCGUUCAUCUCCCCAGCGGCCUGGAGAAGGGAGGAGGUUGGAGGGAGGAGGGAGGGAGCACACAAAAGCGAGCCGUGCUGAGAGGGCUAAUGUUUCCUGUUUGCCUGGAACCCCCUCCCCUGUGUCCCCUCCCCCAGCCCCCUCCCAGCACUCGGGCGGAAGUGAGUUUGCUCCUUUGGAGAUUAAAAGGAUUCCGAAUUCCGAUCAGUCCCAAUAACCAGCGUACAGAGUGAGAGAGAGAGAGAGAGAGAAGAAGAAGGAGGAGGAGGAGGAGGAAGAGGCGGCAAAGCAGAGAAAGAGGGGGCGCGCGUGCGCGGGCACGCAGCCCGAAUUGGGGAGUUGUGCAAAGCCCCAGGAGGCCAGGGCGCACGGCGCGAGCAUAGCCUGGUAGGCUCGGCGCGGCGAGGCCACCCGAGUCUUGCUCCGUGACUCAAUGCAGAAAGAAGAUGACGCGGGCGCGAGCCGGCGGCGUUGACCACGCGGCUCCCGAGCUCCACGCGCUGGGCCGUUGCCCGUUCCACUGAUUCCAGCGGGCCCGGGUGGAGGCUCCGUCCCCGCGGCUCGGGAUCGGAGGGGGACCAAGGCGAGGGCGAAAUGGCCCGAUGACAAAGGAAAUGUGAUCCCCCUUCGCUGCCAAGGUUUCAGAGAGGACGGACGCGAGGAGGAGGAGGGGCGCAGGGCGCGCGCGGAGCUCGGAUAGCAUUGCACGACGGCUCGCGCCGAGCGGGCAGCGGGUACAUCUAAUAUCUUCCUGCCGAUGAAUAAUUCAGGACGGCCCGCGGGGACCUGCGGCCCCGCUCUGCUGCGCGGCUAAACCGGAGGAGAAGGAACGCGCGGGAGGCGCCCAGGCCCCGCGAGGCGGGGGGCAGGAGGGCCCCGGGCCGCGUGGGGCGC